rnacentral:lncRNA from 1 species
GUCCACAUAGAUUAAAUUAUUUUGAUCAUUUAUUUUAUCUUUUAACGGCUGAGAUUAAAAUAUGGAAACGUUACGUAAAAAUAUGUGUACAUGUACAAGUAGUAAAACUUGCCACGUACAAACAACGCACAUAGGUUCCAUCCGAACGUCAACUAGCCCGCAGAAACAGAAAAAAUAUAUUUCAAUCAAUGGGUUAAGGAAUAAAAAAUAAUAGGAAACCUAAACAAAUAAGGACAACGAUUGGACCUAACCAGACCUCACAUGAGAAACUUCCAAAACAGGAACCAUGACACGAAAAAAGACCGAUCUGCUUUCUCCACGGUCACAACCACCUGAACCCACACACCUCCACCCAUAUAUAAAUGAGUACAGCCAGCCGCAGAAGCACACACCCAAAGAAUUAGAAGUCAGCAAAGACGUCACACGCGACUAGGCAACUCGACGUCGACACGAAAAGCCACCUCAGCCACCUCCAGCCGCUUCACUUGACGUCCGAUGAAGUCACGCCAAAGCACGCUCAACGCAUGACGAAGCCACGCCCAGCUACUCCAAUCGACAUCGGACGAAGGGACGCCAAAGCACUUUUGGCCUGAAUCAUCAGAUAAUUUAGUAAUUGUUAUUAACAGUCUUAUUUUCUCUAGAUAUAAUCUUUAUAAAUAUUGUAUCAAUUGAAAAAUUGUUCCCUAUUAAUAUUCAAGGCAAAACACUAUGGCAUGUAACAAGUUGAGCGACUUAAAUACAAGGGGACAUCACUGGAACAUUCAAGUAAAACAAAUGUGAAUAUGGGAUUCAUUCAAUCCUACCACCGAUGAGCUUAUUAGCCUAGAUAUGAUACACGUGCAAAGUAACAUUACAAAUCGACCAAAUAAUCGGUGCGGAGAUCCCAGACAAAGAUGACGAUCCGGACGGAUAUGAAACUGUGGAAAAUUUCAUGAUGCACGGGCCUUGCAGAGUGUCAAAUACAAAAUCAUCAUGCAUGAUUGACAACAGACGCACUAAGCACUUCCCAAAAGGAUACAAUGUCGAUACCACAAACGAUGAGGAUGGCUUUCCAGUAUAUAGAAGGCGAUACAAUGGAAGGAAAAUCAAAAAGGGAGGAGCAAUGCUCAACGAUAGAUUUGUCGUACCCUACAACCGAAACCUUUUGGCCAAUUCCAAGCUCACAUAAAUGUCAAGUGGUGCCACAGGCCAAGGUCAAUCAAGUACCUACCUAUUUAAGAACAUCCAUAAAGAUGACGACCAGGUAACAACCUUGCUAAAGGGAAGAGAUGCGGCAAAUGACUAUGAUGACAUCAAGAAAUACCUAGAGAUGAGAUACAUAUCAACAACUGAAGCAUGCUGGCAAACAUUCCUGUUUGAUAUACACCAUCAUGAUCCACCAGUCGAGAGACUACCAUUCCACAUUAAAAAUGAGCAAGAACUUAUUUUUCCGGACUCGACUGACAUAGAGAAGAUAGUAAGAAGGCCAGGAUCCACGAGUACUAAGUUCACUGAGUGGAUGGAGGCAAACAAAAUACAUGAGGCGGGAAAAGAAUUAAC